rnacentral:rRNA from 1 species
GACGGAGGAUGCAAGCGUUAUCCGGAAUUAUUGGGCGUAAAGCGUCUGUAGGUGGCUUUUUAAGUCUGCCGUCAAAUCCCAGGGCUCAACCCUGGCCAGGCGGUGGAGACUACUAAGCUGGAGUACGGUAGGGGCAGAGGGAAUUUCCGGUGGAGCGGUGAAAUGCGUAGAUAUCGGAAAGAACACCAAGGGCGAAGGCACUCUGCUGGGCCGAAACUGACACUGAGAGACGAGAGCUAGGGGAGCAAAUGGG